ensembl:lincRNA
GAAAUAUUCAGAGUAGAAUGGGGAGAAGCAGGCUAGAGACUCCCAGUAGGUUUUAGCAAUAAAUGUGCAAAUAUCACAGAAGGCAAGACAUUUCUUGUCCAGAGUCACAGGUCAUGGGAGUCAUUGGUACUAUUGAGAUAAUUUUAAAAGACCUUUCUGAAAUAUCACCUUCAAGCAGUUGAGGGAUUUUGGUUUGCUAACAAAACCAUCUGGGACAUUCUAGUAAUUAGAACAAUCACAGCCAGGACUCAUGUGAGAGAAGGUUUCAAACUCUUCCUUAUUAUUGAAUUUUGGAAUUUGGAACCAACUCCUUCACCCCAUUGUAUUUUCUUUUGCCAUCUUUCUUACUCACCAAACCUAUCAUUAUUUCUUCCUUUCCAGGGACUUCUAUGCCCUCUGCAGUUUGCCUCUUCCUCUGCUAUUUUUUCAUGUAUGUGUAUGUUUUUUGCCUGUAUUUGCAAUGCCAGCCAUCAUUUGCCAUGUCUUCUAGCGGCAACCUGCAUUUAGCCCAGAUCUGCUGUGAUUAUUCCUUUUCACAAGCCACAAUGACUCCGGAAAACCUGGCUGUAAACACCAGCACUGCCACCAGCUAAGGAUCUGUGAUCAGGAGUGCCAUCUCACGGUAACAGGGGACCCAGGGGUUUACAAAAAUUGUCCAUCUGUCCAUGUUUUUAUAAUUGGGGAGUGGCUGAGCUGAGCUUCGUGCCCAGGUGUGUAUAGUACCACAGUGGCUGUGUUCUUUUGCAUGAUGCAUGAAAGGAAGAGAAAGAGGAAGAAAAUUACACCAUAAAGGUUUGUCCUUUUCUCUUCCCAUGUCCUAGUUUACUAAUUAUGUGUCUCAUGAGUUAAAAGAGGAGAGAAAAGCCAGAAGAUGCUGAAGUCUGAAGAUAUUCAAACAAUUCUCACUCGUUUUACUCUGCUGCCCCACCCCUGUCCUGACCCC